UACAAGAAAUGCAAUCAGGGGGAGCAGAAUGACACAGAGGAGUCUGGAAGCUCAUGAUUUCAUUAAGCAACUUUCCCAUACUGUGAGGAGAUGGAGGGCAAGCAUUAACUGUUGGAAGGAUUUCUUUUAAGGAUGCAUUAUAUCAAGAGCUAGAUAUCAGAGCCAGUUGGGAGAAAUAGGAAACGGGUGUAGAAACAGUCCCAGACUUGCAUGAGCCCUGGAGAAAAGGUCUGGCUUCUGGGUUGCUGUGUCACACACAGUCUGCUUGCAGGAUGACAGAGGAAGAAUGAGUCAUGAUCUCUGCAAGUGCCCAUCAAGAACUGCCUGACAGGUCUGGGAAGCAUUCACCCUAAGACCUUUCAUGUCCUUAUUAAAAUUGGAUG